rnacentral:lncRNA from 1 species
UAAUAAGGGCUUUACUCAUGCCGCUGAGGUUAGGGUAAUAUUUUAUCCAUCUCCUCUUUUCACUGAGACGCAGUCAUUGCUGCUGUUGAGAGCCAGAGUCUGACCUCAGGUCUUCCAGGAGCUUAGAUCCUGCUGCACAGAACAUGAAAGAUGGACCCGUCAAGGAGAAGAGAGGAAUCUUCUGGGGAGUAUGGGGGAGCAGAGCAUGUGACCCCUGUGCAGCUGCUUCCUCUUAGAGUUUUCACCCAUGAAUCACACAUUCAACUUCCCGGAAGACGCAGGACGGCCCGACCUACAGAGCAGUAUGUAAGAAGAGAAGUAACCAGAUUCUACCUGCACUCUUGCCAACCCUAGAAGUUGCUAGGUUCAGGGCUAGGGUCUGCUGGGAAGGCUCAGGAAGACAGGAUGGCAUGGACAAGGCCAUCUCCCCAGAAGCCCUUCUUUCCUGCUGUUUGGAACACUGGCCUCAGGGAAGGGAUUGAGACUUGAACACCAUUGGGGGCUGUGGCCUCUGAGAUGCUACUUUCUCAUGUUGUGGAUAGUAUGAAUAAGGGGAUCUGGUGCCCACCAGGGGCAUGCCAGAGAGGAAAGAAAGAAACAGGAGCAAUGGAGAUGAGAGUAGGGUGUGUACCAAUAUGUCUCUCCCACCUUGAGAACCACUAAGAAAACCACCCAGAGGACAACAGAUGGAUAGAAAACUACAUUUUAAGCAGGAACCUUGCCCCGUUGAGGAAGGAGAAUAGAAAACACAAAUUGUGCUCUGCGAGCCCAUCUGGAGAAAACAGAAUACUGGAAUUAGCACAUAGAAACUGAUAAAGUGAAAAGAAGCUACGAGGGUUGGAGAAAUGGCUCAGAGGUUAUGAAAAUGUGCUACACUUCAGAGAACCCAAGUUCAAGUCCCAGCCCCUACAUCAGGCAACUCUUAAUCUCCUGGAACUCUGGCUUCAAGGAAAUCAAACAUCUCUGCCCUCUGUAGGCACCUAAAACCCCUGUGCACACAACCAGAGACACACGCUUACACAUUAGUAAAUAUAGUUCAAAAGAAAACAAAACAACCUGAGAAACAGAAAUGAGCUGUGAUUAACAAUGAGAACUUAAUUGAAGAGAUUCAAGGAAGCAUCUAAAGACGUGAAAAGACAUGGAAAGGAAGCAAUUGGGACAAAAAGCUAGAAGUUGAAAGAGGAAGCGGUGAUUGUGUACACAGUGUGAUUCCAGAAAGGGUGGGGUCCAGUGUGGCAAGAGAGGCAAGAGUUUGUGGUUAGCCUGAGCUACACAGCAAGAGACAGAAGCCUAAUCUUCCUCAAACAAUAGAAGGAAACAAAAUAUCAAAGUAGAAACAGAAACAGAACAACCAAGAAUGGUCAAUGACAGGAAGGGUAGGAAGAGGUGACAGAAUGACAGAAUGGUAGAGACAGUGCUAGAUUAUGUUAGUAAGGAGAAAGUGUUCUUAAAAUGUGAAUAGAAAAAAGUGUUAGUUAAUUUAAACAUAGAAAACAUGGAUAAGAUUUUACAAAACAAAAGAAUAAAGAGCGCCUGAGACCAGGGAGAGCCAAGAAAAUCCUAGGUGAGCAUCCGCACACAUUGAUUCAGAUAGCUUCAAUGAGCAUCUGUGCACGUCUAUGCCGGAAACUUAGAUGAGCACGCGAGCACAUGGAUGCAGGGGUACUGUCCAUGCUCAAGACCCUUGGGAUCUAAAGCUGUCACUUGGCAUCAACACUGGCAAAGCAAGAUGGUGCAUGGAGAUGCAGUCAUGAUACACAUGAUCUGACCUGGGUCAUAUCUGUCCUUCUGUCCAUCCAUCCAUCCAUCUGCCCACCACAGAAGAUUGUGUAGCAGACACACCAGGAAUGUGAGGAAAUGAAGAGCCUUCAGACUGUGAAAGAGUCAUCUCAAGUGGAUGAGGGCCAUGCUGUUGGAGGCACGGCUGUGGAGAAAGCCACAGAGAACAGCAUCUUGGUUGAGCUAUUGAUCUGUAAGGUGCUCUAGGGAGGGAAAGACCCCAUUAGCUAAACUACCUGUAAAGGCUGAACCAUCACUACCUGAGUAUUCUCGUGUGAAGGACAACAGAACCCAAUGUGAAGAUGAGAAUGUUUAGAAAAAUUAACCAUCUAAAGGAGGCACAAGGCUCUUUUGGUCUCUUGAAAACCUGUCAAGUGGAGAAUAAAGAUAAAUCCAGACGAUUCUAGAAAGGUAGAAGCAACAUCAACAGGUGGGCGCUGUAUGAAGUUUCCUGAGCAUAAAUUCAUAAUUCAGUGUAAGGAUGUUUUUUAGAAUUAGUUAUAUCUGCCCACGAGUGAUGAAGACAGAACAGGUUUGCUGGUAUAUUUGAGAAUUGUAGAUUCCUGAGUACUCCAAAGGUGUGAGAUGGAUUUACCGAUGGGGCUCAGCUUUAAAUGAUUGCCUGCCUUAGUUUCCCCAGUGAUCAGUAGCAGCGUGAGCUAUGGUGGCAGUCUACUUUAAUGAGAAGUCCAAGAGUAGAAGCCACACAGUUCUCAAAUAUCCACAGACACCAUAGCAGCCGAAGGUCAUUUUCUUGAGGAUGGUAAUUCUGUUGACCUCCUGCAACACAAUGAACCACACUCACCAUUCAAUCAAAUUACUAUAUAAAUAAGAGAAUGAAAUACAUUGGUUAAAUACAUCCAAG